AGGAAAUGCAGACACAUGCCACACAUGGUAAAGUCCCUCUGUGCCAGUGGGAAGGCAUGGGCACAGCACAGAAAACCUGUCGCCAGAGAGCAUGCGCCUGUGGAGAGACUUUACAAGCGUUCCUGUGAAAGUUCCAGAAAUCACAUGACUCCUCUGACCCCCGUGGGCACCAGGCUUGCAUGUGGUACACAGACACAUAUCCAGCUGUCCUUGUGGGAGGAGGUGGGCACUAAAGACGUCAUCUUAUUGACAUGACUCCACCAAGAGCUCUUAAAUGUCAAGAGUAAGAAAAUGAAGAACUCACUUAAAAGGUCGGCAGACUUUAGCAGUUCGCCCAAGAGGAUAUUCAGAUGGAAAGCAAGAGAUGCUGUGUGAUUUGCCACCAGGGAAAUGCAAAUCCAAUCAACAACACGAUCCUAUGGCGCUUCUGUGAGAAUGGCCAAGUACAAACCCAUUACUCGACACUGGAGAUAAGAGCAACCCCUUUCAUCCAUUGUGGGCGGACUAAAAGUUUGGCAGCUUCCAACAAACACACCCACACUUUACAACAAUCAUGCUUUUGUGUUUACUCAGAGGACUUGGAAAUUUAUGUCCACCCAUCGAUGUGGAUGGAUAGCAGUUUUAUUCAUGAUCCAGAACUUGGAAGCAACCAAAGAUAGACUGUGGCCUGUCCAGACAAUGGGAUUUUAUUCAGCAAGUCAUUCUCCGACCUACACACAAAUAAAUAAACCAAUGUAAAUAACAAAAAAAGCUAUCGUGGCU